rnacentral:rRNA from 1 species
UACGUAGGGGGCUAGCGUUGUCCGGAAUCAUUGGGCGUAAAGAGCGUGUAGGCGGUCCGGUAAGUCCGUUGUGAAAGUCAGGGGCUCAACCCUUGAAUGCCGGCGGAUACUGUCGGGCUAGAGUCCGGAAGAGGCGAGUGGAAUUCCCGGUGUAGCGGUGAAAUGCGCAGAUAUCGGGGAGGAACACCUAUGGCGAAGGCAGCUCGCUGGGACGGUACUGACGCUGGAGACGCGAAAGCGUGGGGAGCAAACAGG